UCGCAUUGGUCUCAAACCAAUGACAUGCAUUUCGAAGACCAUGAGUUCGAGGUGUACGAGGAGGGUGAGGGCAUUGUCGACGCACCAAAAGGAAGAGCGGGCAAUUACAGCAACGUCGAUGACAUCUUACUAUGCAAUACUUGGUUGCAAGUGUCGAGGGAUCCAUCCGUUGGAGGUGAUCAAAGUAGAGAUGCUUAUUGGGGGCGGAUGAAAGAACACUUUGAUGUUCACAACUUGAGUGGAAUUCACCGCUCCGAGAGAUCACUUCGGUCCCGAUGGUCGACAAUCAACUCGGAUUGUCAAAGGUGGGCGGCCUAUCAAAAGGCGGUUGACAAGUUGAACCCAAGUGGCACAAAUGAGGACGAUAAAGAGGAGAGGACAACCAAGAAGGGGAAGAUCAAGAAAGGAAGGGUCUUUACCUUGCCCCAUUGCUAUAACGUGUUGAAGGAUGAUGAGAAAUGGAAGAAGCGUGAAGAUUUGGAUGAUUUGCAUUUGAGCAACAAACGCAAGCGAACAAUUAAGUUGGAUGAUGAUGAUGACGAGGAUGAUGCAUCAAGUGAUGACGGCAAGAGAAGCCCCACACCCAACUCGGUUUCAUACUCGAAGCCAAAGCGACCGGAUGGGUGCAAGAAAGACAAAACCGAAAAGAAGAAGAGGAAAGGAGAUGAUGAGCUCAAAUAUGCUAUGGAAGCUAUUGUGAAGGCAAGAAAAGAAGCCAACGAGGUGAGGAAAAUGGCAAGGAACCAAGAUGCCGUGGCCGAGGAGAGGAGGUUGGCGGCCGAAGAGAGGAGGGUGGCAGCCGAGGAGAGGAAGGUGGCUUUGGGGGAGAGGAAGGUGAGCAAUGAGGAGCGAACUAGAUUGUUGGAAUGGGAGAAGCACUUGUUCUUCUUGGACACAUCUAACCUCAAUGCGGCGCAAAAGGAGUAUGCCAAUCUUGCCCGUGAAGAUGUCUUGAUCCAAAAAAGAGCC
rnacentral:rRNA from 1 species